UACAGGGGGGGCAAGCGUUGUUCGGAAUUACUGGGCGUAAAGGGCUCGUAGGCGGCCAACUAAGUCACACGUGAAAUCCCCAGGCUUAACCUGGGAACUGCGUGUGAUACUGGAUGGCUUGAAUUCGGGAGAGGGAUGCAGAAUUCCAGGUGUAGCGGUGAAAUGCGUAGAUAUCUGGAGGAACACCGGUGGCGAAGGCGGCGACCUGGGUAGAUACUGACGCUGAGGUGCGAAGGCCAGGGGAGCAAGCGGG
rnacentral:rRNA from 1 species